rnacentral:rRNA from 1 species
UGCAGUCGACGGCAGCACGGGGGCAACCCUGGUGGCGAGUGGCGAACGGGUGAGUAACAUAUCGGAACGUGCCCUGGAGUGGGGGAUAACUAGUCGAAAGAUUAGCUAAUACCGCAUACGAUCUACGGAUGAAAGUGGGGGAUCGCAAGACCUCAUGCUCGUGGAGCGGCCGAUAUCUGAUUAGCUAGUUGGUGGGGUAAAGGCCUACCAAGGCAUCGAUCAGUAGCUGGUCUGAGAGGACGACCAGCCACACUGGGACUGAGACACGGCCCAGACUCCUACGGGAGGCAGCAGUGGGGAAUUUUGGACAAUGGGCGCAAGCCUGAUCCAGCAAUGCCGCGUGAGUGAAGAAGGCCUUCGGGUUGUAAAGCUCUUUUGUCAGGGAAGAAACGGUUCGGGUUAAUACCUUGGGCUAAUGACGGUACCUGAAGAAUAAGCACCGGCUAACUACGUGCCAGCAGCCGCGGUAAUACGUAGGGUGCAAGCGUUAAUCGGAAUUACUGGGCGUAAAGCGUGCGCAGGCGGUUGUGCAAGACGGAUGUGAAAUCCCCGGGCUCAACCUGGGAAUUGCAUUUGUGACUGUACGGCUAGAGUGUGUCAGAGGGGGGUAGAAUUCCACGUGUAGCAGUGAAAUGCGUAGAGAUGUGGAGGAAUACCGAUGGCGAAGGCAGCCCCCUGGGAUAACACUGACGCUCAUGCACGAAAGCGUGGGGAGCAAACAGGAUUAGAUACCCUGNNAGUCCACGCCCUAAACGAUGUCUACUAGUUGUCGGGUCUUUAUUGACUUGGNAACGCAGCUAACGCGUGAAGUAGACCGCCUGGGGAGUACGGUCGCAAGAUUAAAACUCAAAGGAAUUGACGGGGACCCGCACAAGCGGUGGAUGAUGUGGAUUAAUUCGAUGCAACGCGAAAAACCUUACCUACCCUNGAC